AGGGAAUCUUCCGCAAUGGACGAAAGUCUGACGGAGCAACGCCGCGUGAAGGAAGAAGGCCUUCGGGUUGUAAACUUCUUUGAUCAGGGACGAAGGAAAUGACUGUACCUGAAGAACAAGCCACGGCUAACUACGUGCCAGCAGCCGCGGUAAUACGUAGGUGGCAAGCGUUGUCCGGAAUUACUGGGUGUAAAGGGCGUGUAGGCGGGGAGGUAAGUCAGAUGUGAAAUUCCAGGGCUCAACCCUGGAGCUGCAUCUGAAACUAUCUUUCUUGAGUGCUGGAGAGGAAAGCGGAAUUCCUAGUGUAGCGGUGAAAUGCGUAGAUAUUAGGAGGAACACCAGUGGCGAAGGCGGCUUUCUGGACAGUAACUGACGCUGAGGCGCGAAAGCGUGGGGAGCGAAC
rnacentral:rRNA from 1 species